ensembl:snRNA U6 U6 spliceosomal RNA
GUGCUCACUUCAGCAGCACAUAUACUAAAAUUGGAACCAGAGAAGAUUAGCAUGGCCUCUGUGCAAGGAUGACAUGCAAAUUCCUGAAGUGUUCCAUAUUUUU